CUCUGUGGGGACAGGGACAGGGACAGGGACAGGGACAGGGACAGGGACAGGGACAGGGAGGGGACAGGGACAGGGACAGGGAUGGGGACAGGGACAGGGACAGGGACAGGGACAGGGACAGGGACACCUCCAGCUGUCCCAGGGUGCUCCAAGAGACAGUGCCAGGGCUGGCACAGGGACAUGGGACAGGGAUGUGGGACACCAGGACAUGGGACAGGGACACCAGGACACAAGCAGGGACAUGGGAACACCAGGACACGGGACAGGGACACCAGGACACGGGACAGGGACACAGCACAGGGCCACCUCCACCCACCCCGCUCCGAUCCCCAUCCAUCCCAGGCCUGGCUCAGCCCGGGGGGGGCUUCCCGUGCCCCCCUUCCCCCCGUCACGGUGUCCCCGUGUCCCCGUGUCCCCUCAGGGUGUCCUUCUGCACCUUCCUGGCGCACGAGUACCCGGAGCUGGUGCACAAGGUGAUCAUGAUCAACGGCGGUGGCCCCACGGCGCUGGAGCCCAGCCUGUGCUCCAUCUUCAACCUGCCGCCCUGCGUGCUGCACUGCCUGGCGCCCUGCCUGGCCUGGAGCUUCCUCAGGUGUGUCCGGGGGGUUUUGGGGUGUCUGGGGGGGUUUUGGGGUGUCUGGGGUGGUUUUUGGGGUGUCUGGGGGGUUUUUGGGGUGUCUGGGGUGGUUUUUGGGGGUGUCUGGGGGGAUUUUGGGGUCCCCUGACCCCCCCGGGACCCCCCCAGACCUGGUGACCCCCAACGGGCUGAACGUGCGCAAGUUCUCGGCCAUGCACGAGUUCCAGAACCUUCACGCCCAGAGCAAGGCCCGCGUCCAGGAGUUCGUCCGGGGACACUUCUACGGGUCCGGCACCCCAAAAGGGACCCCGGAAACGUGAAAGGAACCCCAAAAAACCCAAAAAUGGACCCCAAAAACCCCCAAAACCCCAAAAGGGACCCCGGAAACGUGAAAGGGACGCCGAGAAACCCAAAAAUGGACCCCAAAAUCCCCAGAAGGGACCCCAAAAACCCCCAAAAGGGACCCCAAAAACCCCAAAAAGGGACCCCAAAAACCCCAAAAGGAACCCAAAAACCCCAAAAAUGGACCCAAAAAAUCCCUGAAAUGGACCCCAAAAACCCCAAAAGGGACCCCGGAAAUGUGAAAGGGACCUCAAAAACCCAAAAAUGGACCCAAAAACCCCGAAAGGGACCCCAAAAACCCCAAAUGGACCCAAAAAAUCCACAAAAGGGACCCCAAACACCCCAAAAAGGAACCCAAAAACCCCCAAAACCCCAAAAAUGGACCCCAAAAACCCCAAAAGGGACCCCAAACCCCUGGGGCUGGGGAGCCGGGAGUUCAUCUGGGGACACUUCGGGGUUCCCCGGGUGUUUUUGGGGUGUUUUGGGCUGUUUUGGGGGUGUUUUUGGCUGUUUGGGGCUGUUUUGGGGCUGUUUUUGGGCUGUUUCAGGCUGUUUUGGGGCUGUUUUUGGGUGUGUUUGGGGCUGUUUUGGGGCUGUUCCGGGUUGCCCAGGUGUUUUUGGGCUGUUUUGGGGGUGUUUUUGGGUGUGUUUGGGGCUGUUUCGGGCUGUUUUGGGCUGUUUCGGGGCUGUUUUGGGGCUGUUUUUGGGCUGUUUCAGGCUGUUUUGGGGUGUUUCGGGCUGUUUUUGGCUGUUUUGGGGCUGUUUUGGGGCUGUUCCGGGUUGCCCAGGUGGUUUUUGGGCUGUUUUGGGGCUGUUUCGGGCUGUUUUGGGCUGUUUCGGGCUGUUUUGGGGCUGUUUCGGGCUGUUUUGGGCUGUUUUUGGGGUGUUUUGGGCUGGUUUUGGGGUGUUUCGGGGCUGUUUUGGGCUGUUUUUGGGGUGUUUUUGGGCUGUUUUGUGGCUGUUUCGGGCUGUUUCGGGCUGUUUCGGGGCUGUUUCGGGGCUGUUUUGGGGCUGUUUCGGGCUGUUUUUGGGGUGUUUUGGGCUGUUUGGGGCUGUUUUGGGGCUGUUCCGGGCUCCCCAGGUGAGCUC
ensembl:lncRNA